UGAAGGUUUGAAUUUGAUGGUGGGGAUUGCCACUUUGUGUUAUUUUUGAAGCUAUAAGUCUGAUAUACUGGAUUUUUGCCAGAAGACCAAUUUCAUCUGUGGUGUAUCUUGGGUGUUCUUGUCUGUUAGUAAAUUCUGACACCUGACCCCAUUGGCUCGCCCUCCCCUAGUAAAGAGCUCUAUAAUGUAGAUCUCUUGUUUAAAGGUAUUCAUAAGGCAGCUUUUCUUGGGGGAAAGAAUCCCACCAAGAGUCCCUUUGAGGUGCUAAUUUAUUUGCACUGGAAAGUUAAGUUCCAGUUUCCAACCCCCAGAGGUCUUAGAUAUUUGCUCAAGAACAAUUUUGAUUACUGUACCUCAUUGCAUGCCAAAUGGUUUUAUAUAUUAGAAUAUAAGAAGUGGCCUAAAAGUUUUAAUAUAAGCAUGAAGCUGCUAGCAAAACACUAAAGGGGACGGGCUAUCUGUGGAAGUGGCUGGCAUAGACUGUUUCUUUUAACUUUGACAUGUUCUGAAGCAAACAGGGAAAACUGCUUUCCAUAAGGAACUCAAAUGCUAGAAACAGUGGAGAUCAAAUGGCACAAGAGGGUAUAAAGGAACACUGGCCUUAGACUUUGAAGGGGUUAAAUUCUUACUUUCAAAGACAGAGUUGAUAGGAUAUGUAAGUGCAACCAAAAUUUCUACCUACUGGGGAGUGUUUUUAUCUGUCACCUAUUCUUGGCACCCCAUGAUUCACUGCAUAAAAAUCAUGUAGUUUUGAUUGCUUGUUGUUGCUAGAAUUUUCUGUCACAUGUGUUGGGCAUAUAUGUAUUGUAUUUGUUAUCAUUCCAAUCACCAACCCGCUUAAUCCAAACCUUUACCCCAAUAUGCCAUACAUCUACAGCCAUAGCCACAACCACAAAACCCACCAGAAUCAGCAUUUCUCUCUGUCUUGCACAGGAUCAUAUGACUAUGUUGCCACUCUUAAUGCUGGAGCUUUGGUCCAAUUAGUUUAUUUAAAAGAGAACUUUUCUCAACUGAACAUACAGAUACAAUUCUAUUAAUAUAAAGUCAUUGUAAUUUAUUACAUCAUUAUAACUAUUCCUAUAUUAAUAUCCAAUCAUAAAAUCAUAUAUUGUAUCAUAUUUUCUAAGUUUAAGGUCUUGUGUGAAUGAAAGAGGAUAUAGUUUGAUUCAAAGUGUGGGAAAUAAUUUAACAAAGACUUGGUUCAUGAGAUGCUGUCUGGCAACAUUGGACCUUUGGAAAAGAAGGGGCCUGUUGAAAUGGAGUAUAUUAGCCUGUUUAUGUGCCCAACUACCAUCUUUCUGAAUGAUACCCUAAGAAUUCAUUAACCAAAUUCUACAUGCCACAAGGAAAAUAUGUUGGGAGCAAAUUCAUAGUACAUAUUCAGAUCUGAUUUUUCUGGACAACCAGUCUUUUAUUUAUUGUAUAACUUUGAAUACAACCAAAUGUAUUAAAUGAGCUGACAUUGUAGAAUAAUUUGUUAUUUCCGUAUGAAAAAUACUAGAUUUUUCUUU
rnacentral:lncRNA from 1 species